GAUGAACGCUGGCGGCGUGCUUAACACAUGCAAGUCGAGCGGAUGACGGGAGCUUGCUCCUUGAUUCAGCGGCGGACGGGUGAGUAAUGCCUAGGAAUCUGCCUGGUAGUGGGGGACAACGUUUCGAAAGGAACGCUAAUACCGCAUACGUCCUACGGGAGAAAGCAGGGGACCUUCGGGCCUUGCGCUAUCAGAUGAGCCUAGGUCGGAUUAGCUAGUUGGUGAGGUAAUGGCUCACCAAGGCGACGAUCCGUAACUGGUCUGAGAGGAUGAUCAGUCACACUGGAACUGAGACACGGUCCAGACUCCUACGGGAGGCAGCAGUGGGGAAUAUUGGACAAUGGGCGAAAGCCUGAUCCAGCCAUGCCGUGUGUGUGAAGAAGGUCUUCGGAUUGUAAAGCACUUUAAGUUGGGAGGAAGGGCAGUAAGUUAAUACCUUGCUGUUUUGACGUUACCGACAGAAUAAGCACCGGCUAACUCUGUGCCAGCCGCCGCCGUAACAC
rnacentral:rRNA from 1 species